rnacentral:sRNA from 1 species
UGCGACAAUCUUCUUCGCCGCUGCGAUU